rnacentral:rRNA from 1 species
AGUCGUAACAAGGUCUCCGUAGGUGAACCUGCGGAGGGAUCAUUACACAAAUAUGAAGGCGGGCUGGAACCUCUCGGGGUUACAGUCUUGCUGAAUUAUUCACCCUUGUCUUUUGCGUACUUCUUGUUUCCUUGGUGGGUUCGCCCACCACUAGGACAAACAUAAACCUUUUGUAAUUGCAAUCAGCGUCAGUAACAAAUUAAUAAUUACAACUUUCAACAACGGAUCUCUUGGUUCUGGCAUCGAUGAAGAACGCAGCGAAAUGCGAUAAGUAGUGUGAAUUGCAGAAUUCAGUGAAUCAUCGAAUCUUUGAACGCACAUUGCGCCCUUUGGUAUUCCAAAGGGCAUGCCUGUUCGAGCGUCAUUUGUACCCUCAAGCUUUGCUUGGUGUUGGGCGUCUUGUCUCUAGCUUUGCUGGAGACUCGCCUUAAAGUAAUUGGCAGCCGGCCUACUGGUUUCGGAGCGCAGCACAAGUCGCACUCUCUAUCAGCAAAGGUCUAGCAUCCAUUAAGCCUUUUUUUUCAACUUUUGACCUCGGAUCAGGUAGGGAUACCCGCUGAACUUAAGCAUAUCAAUAGGAAGUAAAAGUCG